UACGUAGGGUGCGAGCGUUGUCCGGAAUUACUGGGCGUAAAGAGCUCGUAGGUGGUUUGGUUAGUCGGAUGUGAAAUCUCCAGGCUCAACCUGGAGGGGUCAUUCGAUACUGCCAUGACUAGAGGUCGGUAGGGGAGUGUGGAAUUCCUGGUGGAGCGGUGAAAUGCGCAGAUAUCAGGAGGAACACCCGUAGCGAAGGCGGCACUCUGGGCCGAUACUGACACUGAGGAGCGAAAGCGUGGGGAGCGAACAGG
rnacentral:rRNA from 1 species